rnacentral:lncRNA from 1 species
CGGAAAAUAGUGCUGAGAGGGAGAGUACAUUCUACUGGAGAGUUUGAGAAUUCAUGACAGUGCACGACUAAGCAAAAGAAAAAAUAUAUACAUAGAUGUGCAGGGUUGUAAUAAUUUAUUUACUAAUUACUGAUUGAAUCAGAAAUUUAAAAAUAAUUGCCAAAUAUAGGUAGAACAGAGGAGGAGAAGUCAGGAGAGGAUAACUCUUCGUUUUUCAAAUUAGGAUAUCAAUAGAUUAUGCCUAAAAGUGGUAACAACAAGAAAUCUACUAUCAGUAGGUUAUUUUAAAAUAUGGAGGUGUGUCCGGAAUUGGUGGGUGCUUGGUCUCACUGACUUCAAGAAUGAAGCCGCCAACCCUCGCGGUGAGUGUUAACAGUUCUUAAAGGCGGCGUGUUAGG